CUUCUCGUGGUGUAGUUUGUAAAGCGCCUGUCUAGUGAGUCGGAGUCGUGAGUUCGAGACUCACCGAGAGGA
rfam:Aedes albopictus isolate Foshan contig97872, whole genome shotgun sequence.